AUACGUAGGGAGCGAGCGUUGUCCGGAAUUACUGGGUGUAAAGGGAGCGUAGGCGGGAGUGCAAGUCAGAUGUGAAAUACAUGGGCUCAACCCCUGGGCUGCAUUUGAAACUUCAAUUCUUGAGUGAAGCAGAGGUAAGCGGAAUUCCUGGGGUAGCGGUGCAAUGCGUAGAUAUCAGGAGGAACACCGGUGGCGAAGGCGGCUUACUGGGCUUUUACUGACGCUGAGGCUCGAAAGCGUGGGGAGCAAACAGGAUUAGAUACCCUGGUAGUCCACGCUGUAAACGAUGAUUACUAGGUGUGGGGGGACUGACCCCUUCCGUGCCGCAGUUAACACAAUAAGUAAUCCACCUGGGGAGUACGGCCGCAAGGUUGAAACUCAAAUGAAUUGACGGGG
rnacentral:rRNA from 1 species